GGGCAGCAUUGUAGCAAUACAGAUGAUGGCGACCGGCGCACGGGUGAGUAACGCGUAUGCACUUACCUAUCGAGGGGGAUAGCCCGGCGAAAGUCGGAUUAAUACCCCAUAAACCCGCAUGGGUAAAGAUUCAUCGCUGUAGAUAGGCAUGCGUUCCAUUAGGCAGUUGGCGGGGUAACGGCCCACCAAACCGACGAUGGAUAGGGGUUCUGAGAGGAAGGUCCCCCACAUUGGUACUGAGACACGGACCAAACUCAUACGGGAGGCAGCAGUGAGGAAUAUUGGUCAAUGGCCGAGAGGCUGAACCAGCCAAGUCGCGUGAAGGAAGAAGGAUUAUGGUUUGUAAACUUCUUUUAUAGGGGAAUAAGUGGAGGACGUGUCCUUUUUUGUAUGUACCCUAUGAAUAAGCAUCGGCUAACUCCGUGCCAGCAGCCGCGGUAAUACGGAGGAUGCGAGCGUUAUCCGGAUUUAUUGGGUUUAAAGGGUGCGUAGGUGGUAUUUAAGUCAGCGGUGAAAGUUUGUGGCUCAACCAUAAAAUUGCCGUUGAA
rnacentral:rRNA from 1 species